rnacentral:rRNA from 1 species
GAUGAACGCUGGCGGCGUGCCUAAUACAUGCAAGUCGAGCGAACGGACGAGAAGCUUGCUUCUCUGAUGUUAGCGGCGGACGGGUGAGUAACACGUGGAUAACCUACCUAUAAGACUGGGAUAACUUCGGGAAACCGUAGCUAAUACCGGAUAAUAUUUUGAACCGCAUGGUUCAAAAGUGAAAGACGGUCUUGCUGUCACUUAUAGAUGGAUCCGCGCUGCAUUAGCUAGUUGGUAAGGUAACGGCUUACCAAGGCAACGAUGCAUAGCCGACCUGAGAGGGUGAUCGGCCACACUGGAACUGAGACACGGUCCAGACUCCUACGGGAGGCAGCAGUAGGGAAUCUUCCGCAAUGGGCGAAAGCCUGACGGAGCAACGCCGCGUGAGUGAUGAAGGUCUUCCGAUCGUAAAACUCUGUUAUUAGGGAAGAACAUAUGUGUAAGUAACUGUGCACAUCUUGACGGUACCUAAUCAGAAAGCCACGGCUAACUACGUG